GCUUGUGGCCACACCACUGUGACAGCGCCCGAUCCUGUCUGAUCUCGGAAGCUAAGCGCGAUCGGACCCGUUUAGUACUUGGACGGGAGACCGCCUGGGAAUACCUGGUGCUGUAAGCU
rnacentral:rRNA from 1 species